rnacentral:rRNA from 1 species
CACGUAGGGUGCGAGCGUUGUCCGGAAUUAUUGGGCGUAAAGAGCUCGUAGGCGGUGUGUCGCGUCGGCCGUGAAAACCUGCAGCUUAACUGUGGGCUUGCGGUCGAUACGGGCAUCACUGGAGUUCGGCAGGGGAGACUGGAAUUCCUGGUGUAGCGGUGAAAUGCGCAGAUAUCAGGAGGAACACCGGUGGCGAAGGCGGCAUCCUGGACCAACACUGACACUGAGGAGCGAAAGCCAGGGGAGCAAACGGG